UACGUAGGGUGCGAGCGUUAAUCGGAAUUACUGGGCGUAAAGCGCGUGUAGGCGGCUCGAUAAGUCUGCUGUGAAAGUUCAGGGCUCAACCCUGAAAUGCCGGUGGAAACUGUCGGGCUAGAGUCCGGAAGAGGCGAGUGGAAUUCCUGGUGUAGCGGUGAAAUGCGCAGAUAUCAGGAGGAACACCAAUGGCGAAGGCAGCUCGCUGGGACGGUACUGACGCUGAGACGCGAAAGCGUGGGGAGCAAACAGG
rnacentral:rRNA from 1 species